ACCAUAGUUCAGUGGUACGACGCCGGGUUGUGGGCCCAGAAACGCGGGUUCGAUUCCCGCUGGC
rnacentral:ncRNA from 11 species